AGUCGAGGGGUAUGCUUCUUCGGAAGUAGAGACCGGCGCACGGGUGCGUAACGCGUAUGCAAUCUACCUUUUACAGAGGGAUAGCCCAGAGAAAUUUGGAUUAAUACCUCAUAGUAUAAUAGCUCGGCAUCGAGCAAUUAUUAAAGUCACAACGGUAAAAGAUGAGCAUGCGUCCCAUUAGCUAGUUGGUAAGGUAACGGCUUACCAAGGCUACGAUGGGUAGGGGUCCUGAGAGGGAGAUCCCCCACACUGGUACUGAGACACGGACCAGACUCCUACGGGAGGCAGCAGUGAGGAAUAUUGGACAAUGGGCGCAAGCCUGAUCCAGCCAUGCCGCGUGCAGGAUGACGGUCCUAUGGAUUGUAAACUGCUUUUGUACAGGAAGAAACAGUUCUACGUGUAGAACCUUGACGGUACUGUAAGAAUAAGGAUCGGCUAACUCCGUGCCAGCAGCCGCGGUAAUACGGAGGAUCCAAGCGUUAUCCGGAAUCAUUGGGUUUAAAGGGUCCGUAGGCGGUUUAAUAAGUCAGUGGUGAAAGCCCAUCGCUCAACGGUGGAACGGCCAUUGAUACUGUUAAACUUGAAUUAUUAGGAAGUAACUAGAAUAUGUAGUGUAGCGGUGAAAUGCUUAGAGAUUACAUGGAAUACCAAUUGCGAAGGCAGGUUACUACUAAUUGAUUGACGCUGAUGG
rnacentral:rRNA from 1 species